UCUUGCCCCUUCAGAGUUUCUCAGCCCCAACACUAAUCCAUCUUUGGCCUUUUCUUCCCUGGAGCCUAGUCUGUCCCCCCAUCAAUUCGUCUCCCCAGCUCUGCCUCCCAUCCCCCAUUCCAACCCUCAUUCCCUCCACAGCUUUCUAACAGUUAUAGUGGAGGGCGAGGGGGACACAAGACCUCCUAUCACCUGAUUCCAGCUCCUUGGCCAGAGGAGCAGUAGCCACCUUGUCCUGGUUCAGCCUGUCUUGAAGCUGCUUAUCGAUCUGAUUUUCGAUAUCUGUCACCAUCUCUGAAGUAGAAGGGCUGACAGACAACAGAAGGGACUUCCUGCCAGGGGAGGAGCUAUGAGCAGAAGGCAGUGAGAGCCCUCUCCUUCCUUGAAGACCAGGAAGAUGUGCAUCCCUCCAACCCUGCUGUGCCUGGGCUCCACCCGGUCUCCCUUUACUCAAUUUUCUCUCAGCCAUCUCUUUGCUGACUGCUCCCUAGUCCUGGUUCUUAACCCACAGAUAUUUAAAGUGGAAAUGAGAGAACUGAAGUUCUGGAAAG